UAGGAAACGUUGAUUUUACAAGCACCAUGACAACAACCGGGAACAUUAAACAUUUAGUCUGUCAACAUGCAUCGAGAAAAGAGUGUGAAAGCCAAAGAGGUUAUAGAGGCUUUUAUAAAGUUUAUCUCCGCUCUUGAGGUGGACUCGGUGCCAUGUGCUGAAACUUUCCGGCGGGCAAAAUUCAACAAACACGAUGUGAUGCAGAACAUGUGGGAUUUGCUCCGUAGCCUUCUCGUGAAAGCAGUACGAAUGGAAUGCAAAUGUCAGCACUCAGAUCCAGAUGCCCAGGCCAGGUUUGUGAGGAGCGCGCUGUGGCACUGUGGAUACCGUGCACGUUGGGUGGUGGCACCGCAGGCUGGUGGUUGCUGUGGAGACGGGGUAGGGAGCCGAGAGCUGCUUUUGGCCCUCGGCUGGAUGCUGUCAUCAGGGAGCCUCCUGGAGUUCCUGCUGGGAGAGAGAGUGCUUGCAGAUGCAGCCCCUGGCACUGCCUCCUGCACAGGUGAGAGGCUGGCCUUGUGUUCCUGGUUGCCCGCAUUGCAGUGGCUGGCACUGCGCACCAUAUUCAUGGGGAAUUCAAGUGCAAUGUGGAAUAGAACCUAAAACUGGCUUUUUUUCCCCGUCCAGAAAUAGCCCCCUGGGUAAACAAAUCCUCUUUUUUGUUGCUCUUCCCAUACCACUGAGACCAGAUCAGAGAGGAAAGCAGAGAGAGGCAGCUUUAGC
ensembl:lncRNA